UGAUUCAUUUUUAUAUGUAACGUUUUAGCCCACUCUAUAGCUCGGACCGGUUAAUGUUCAACUCCUGGGCGUGGAGAGGCAGUUCCAAGGAGGCAAGCAAGGAUGACCCCAUUCAAGGUAUAUGGCCGCGUGGGAGUGGAGGCGCAGAGGCCCGAGGCAGGGAUGGAUGGGUUUGCUCGCUUGAGUUCUGUCUGCGCAAAGUAGGCCGAGAUCCACCUCCAGCACCCAGAGUUCGCAAGUCACUCCCGGUCCGACCGGCAGGAGACGCAAAUUCUGACGGCAGUUUGGUCCACGCUUCCUUCCAGCCCCCAUCCCCAAGUCCGCUUGCCCAGCUCCUGCCCUCCCCCAUUCUCAGACCCCUCCCCACCCCUCCUCCCCUCCCCCCCCCCCGGGUCCGGCGGAGGCGCUGGGGAGGCCCGGACCGCUGGGCCCCUGGGGGCUCCAGAAGCCAAAGUCCGCUCGUGGGGACCGUUUUCCUCUCCACUGCUCUCAAGUGAACAACAAGGACGGAGGUGACCCUCGUCCAAAGGGCUUUUAUCUGACCCCAGCGCCGCGUGAUCCCGCCGCCCGUUGGAGGCAGGAGCUUUGAAAAGAAAGAAAGCAAAGUUAAUGUGCGCUGAGGACUGAUCUUAAAUCGGGGGACAUUAUCUUCCAUCUCCGUAAGUGGCAGCAGCAGUGCCUCGCAGAACAAAGACUCAGUGUCUGAGCUUUCCACAGCUUCUAGGUAACGUUUCAGCGAGAUAAGAGCCACCUCAGCGCAAAAACACGGGUUUUCUCGGCUCCCGAAAACCCGCGGCUGUUCAGAGCUCGCCAUUCUCCCGCGUCGUGUUUGUCCUGGCCCACUGCGGGAUGGGGGUGGAGAUGGCAAGAAUAACAAAGGACUUCGGCACCCACCCACCCCGCCCCCAUCCUGCGAGGGCGACGCGGAGGAAUUCUUUAGAACCACCUCACAUUUGCUACUAUUUGCCCCAAAAUCAAAUUCCACUUUUUUUUUUUAAGAGCGGAAAAUCACCUAUCAAAGCAAAGUGAGCGGGCGUUGCUGGAAGUUAAAAAAAAAAAGAAAGGAGGAAAAAAAAAACCCUUUCACCGCGACCUCUUUCCCGAUUAGAUGUCAGAGGAUGGGAGGGAGGGCCUAGGCUGUAAUUCAUCUUGAUUUGCUUCAUUGUCCUGCAGUUUGCAAACUAUAAUCCUGUAUAAUUUCAGGAACAAGCAGGUUUAGAAUUAAUGGGUCAAUAUUAUUUAAAACAAAACACGGGGAGCACGACCUUUGCCUCAACUACAUAUUGCUCGACAAGACUCAGGAAACUCCACUCUAACCUCUCAACCCCUGGACUCUUUGAGAAACUAAAGGGCCCUGGUUAUUAGAAAUGGUCUUUGUUUCUUUUAAUGUCUCCAAAGGAUUUGGAAAUAGUAACGCAAUAGAACAUGAAGGAUCUCUCUACUUAAGUCGGAAAGAUAAACGUGGAGGCCUAAAUAUUUUGAACUGGAGGCGUUUCCUGGUAAAUUUAUGAUGGAUGUAUUCCUUGUGAGAGGAAUGUAUAUUAACGCUAGACUUAUACCUGCACACCACACAAGCUUCUCCUGAAGAAUUUACUGGAAGCACAGGUCCGCCCCCUCCCCAGGAGAAAACCUGAGAGCCAUUCCAAACUAGCAGUAUUUACUAAAUCUCUUUCUCCUUUCUUCUUUCUCUCUUAUAUUAUUUACUGGCAAUAAUGGAAUCCACUGGGUGUAAGCCAAAGAAAAAUUUGAAAGACAAGA